rnacentral:rRNA from 1 species
AACGAACGCUGGCGGCAUGCCUAACACAUGCAAGUCGAACGAAGCCUUCGGGCUUAGUGGCGCACGGGUGCGUAACACGUGGGAAUCUGCCCUUCGGUUCGGAAUAACAGUUAGAAAUGACUGCUAAUACCGGAUGAUGACGUAAGUCCAAAGAUUUAUCGCCGAAGGAUGAGCCCGCGUAGGAUUAGGGUAGUUGGUAGGGUAAUGGCCUACCAAGCCGACGAUCCUUAGCUGGUCUGAGAGGAUGAUCAGCCACACUGGGACUGAGACACGGCCCAGACUCCUACGGGAGGCAGCAGUGGGGAAUAUUGGACAAUGGGCGAAAGCCUGAUCCAGCAAUGCCGCGUGAGUGAUGAAGGCCUUAGGGUUGUAAAGCUCUUUUACCAGGGAUGAUAAUGACAGUACCUGGAGAAUAAGCUCCGGCUAACUCCGUGCCAGCAGCCGCGGUAAU